UACGUAGGGGGCGAGCGUUGUCCGGAGUUACUGGGCGUAAAGGGCGUGCAGGCGGUGCAGUAAGUUUGGAGUGACAGAACCCGGCUCAACUGGGUAAGGCCUUCGAAAACUGACAGACUUGAGGGCUUCAGAGGGACACGGAAUUCCGGGUGGAGUGGUGAAAUGCGUAGAGAUCCGGAGGAACACCAAAGGCGAAGGCAGUGUCCUGGGGAGUACCUGACGCUCAGGUGCGAAAGCCAGGGGAGCGAACGGG
rnacentral:rRNA from 1 species